rnacentral:rRNA from 1 species
GACGAACGCUGGCGGCGUGCUUAACACAUGCAAGUCGAGCGGUAAGGCCCUUUCGGGGGUACACGAGCGGCGAACGGGUGAGUAACACGUGGGUGACCUGCCCUUAGCUCUGGGAUAAGCCUGGGAAACUGGGUCUAAUACCGGAUAUGACUCCAUAACGCAUGUUGUGGGGUGGAAAGCCUUGUGCGGCUAGGGAUGGGCCCGCGGCCUAUCAGCUUGUUGGUGGGGUGAUGGCCACCAAGGCGACGACGGUAGCCGGCCUGAGAGGGCGACCGGCCACACUGGGACUGAGACACGGCCCAGACUCCUACGGGAGGCAGCAGUGGGGAAUCUUGCGCAAUGGCGAAAGCCUGACGCAGCGACGCCGCGUGGGGA